UACGUAGGGUGCGAGCGUUGUCCGGAAUUAUUGGGCGUAAAGAGCUCGUAGGCGGCUUGUCGCGUCGGCUGUGAAAACCUGGGGCUCAACCCCGAGCCUGCAGUGGAUACGGGCAGACUAGAGGUAGGUAGGGGAGAAUGGAAUUCCCGGUGUAGCGGUGAAAUGCGCAGAUAUCGGGAGGAACACCGGUGGCGAAGGCGGUUCUCUGGGCCUUACCUGACGCUGAGGAGCGAAAGCGUGGGGAGCGAACAGG
rnacentral:rRNA from 1 species